rnacentral:rRNA from 1 species
CGCGGUAUUAUGACCGUGCGAAGGUAGCAUAAUCAUUAGUCUUUUAAUUGGAGGCUGGAAUGAAUGGUUGGACGAGAAAUAAACUGUCUUUGUCCUAAAAAUUGAAUUUAACUUUUAAGUGAGAGGGCUUAAAUGUAUUAAAGGGACGAUAAGACCCUGUAAAGUUUAUACAUUAAAUUAAUUAAAAAUAAUUUAGGAGAUUAAAAUUUAUUAUUGGGGAGAUGUUUAGUUGGGGCGACUAGGAUAUAAUUUAAUUAUAACUGUCUNNUAGAUUAAGGUCAAGGAUAUUUGAGUUUGUGAUCCUUUCUUAGGAUUCAAGAACAAGUUACUUCAGGGAUAACAGCGUAAUUUUUUUUGAGAGUUCUUAUCGACAAAAGAGUUUGCGACCUCGAUGUUGAAUUAAAAGUUUCUCUGAAGUGUAGCAAUUUCAGGAGAAGGUCUGUUCGACCUUUAAAUUUUUACAUGAUUUGA